GAAUUCAACUCCUACGGGAGGCAGCAGUGGGGAAUAUUGCACAAUGGGCGAAAGCCUGAUGCAGCGACGCCGCGUGAGGGAUGAAGGCCUUCGGGUUGUAAACCUCUUUCAGUAGGGAACAAGGCAUCACGUUGUGGUGUUGAGGGUACUUGCAGAAGAAGCGCCGGCUAACUACGUGCCAGCAGCCGCGGUAAUACGUAGGGCGCAAGCGUUAUCCGGAAUUAUUGGGCGUAAAGAGCUCGUAGGCGGUUUGUCGCGUCUGUCGUGAAAGUCCGGGGCUCAACUCCGGAUCUGCGGUGGGUACGGGCAGACUAGAGUGAUGUAGGGGAGACUGGAAUUCCUGGUGUAGCGGUGAAAUGCGCAGAUAUCAGGAGGAACACCGAUGGCGAAGGCAGGUCUCUGGGCAUUAACUGACGCUGAGGAGCGAAAGCAUGGGGAGCGAACAGGAUUAGAUACCCUAGUAGUCCAGGCGUU
rnacentral:rRNA from 1 species